rnacentral:rRNA from 1 species
AACGAAGAGGUAUCGUAAUUGAAGAGGUUUGGAAAGACCCACCACAGAAGGUAAUAGUCCUGUAUGUUAAACGAGAAGACUUCAGAUAUGAUCCAGAGUACCACGGGACACGUGAAACCCUGUGGGAAGCAGGAGGGACCACCCUCCAAGGCUAAAUACUACCUAGUGACCGAUAGCGUAUAGUACCGUGAGGGAAAGGUGAAAAGAACCCCGGGAGGGGAGUGAAAUAGAACCUGAAACCCUGCACUUACAAGCUGUGGAAGCACAUUUCUUGUGUGACCGCGUACUUUUUGUAGAACGGGCCAACGAGUUACGUUAAGUAGCAAGGUUAAGCACUUAAGGUGUGGAGCCGUAGCGAAAGCGAGUUUUAACUGAGCGUUCAGUUACUUGACGUAGACCCGAAACCGGGCGACCUACCCAUGAGCAGGAUGAAGCGAAAGUAAAAUUUCGUGGAGGUCCGAACCCACGAGCGUUGAAAAGCUCGGGGAUGACUUGUGGGUAGCGGUGAAAUUCCAAUCGAGCCCGGAGAUAGCUGGUUCUCCCCGAAAUAGCUUUAGGGCUAGCCUCAAGGUGAGAGAUACGGAGGUAGAGCACUGAAUGUCCUAGGGGGUAUUGCACCUACCGAAGACUAUCAAACUCCGAAUGCCGUCAUCUUAUACUUGGGAGUCAGACUGUGGGUGAUAAGAUUCAUAGUCGAAAGGGCAACAGCCCAGAUCGUCAGCUAAGGUCCCUAAAUGUAAGUUAAGUGGUAAAGGAUGUGGGAUUGCACAGACAACCAGGAUGUUGGCUUAGAAGCAGCCACUCAUUCAAAGAGUGCGUAAUAGCUCACUGGUCGAGUGAUCCUGCGCCGAAGAUUUCCGGGGCUAAAACUUACUACCGAAGCUACGGCAUCAGUAAUGAUGGGUAGGGGAGCUUCCCAUACGGGUUGAAGCAUGACCGUAAGGACAUGUGGACAGUAUGGGAGUGAGAAUGUUGGCAUGAGUAGCGAGAUGUGGGUGAGAAUCCCACAGGCCGUAAACCCAAGGUUUCCAGGGGAAGGUUCGUCCGCCCUGGGUUAGUCGGGACCUAAGCUGAGGCCGAAAGGCGUAGGUGAUGGACAACAGGUUGAUAUUCCUGUACUACCGAUAACCGUUUGAGAGAAGGGAUGACACAGUAGGAUAAGCUAAGCACACUGUUGGUUAUGUGUGCCCAAGCAUUGAGGCAGUCAAAGUAGGCAAAUCCGCUUUGAUAAUGCUGGGAUGUGAUGGGGAGCGAAAUUUAGUAGCGAAGUAGCUGAUUUCACACUGUCAAGAAAAGUCUCUAUCGAGGUUAAAGGUACCCGUACCGCAAACCGACACAGGUGGGUGAGGAGAGUAUCCUAAGGCCAGCGAGAGAACUGUUGUUAAGGAACUCGGCAAAAUGACCCCGUAACUUAGGGAUAAGGGGUGCCACCAUCAGGUGGCCGCAGAGAAUAGGCCCAAGCGACUGUUUACCAAAAACAUAGGUUUCUGCUAAGUCGCAAGACGAUGUAUAGGAGCUGACGCCUGCCCGGUGCUGGAAGGUUAAGGGGAUCUGUUAGAGCAAUCGAAGCAGUGAACUUAAGCCCCAGUAAACGGCGGCCGUAACUAUAACGGUCCUAAGGUAGCGAAAUUCCUUGUCGGGUAAGUUCCGACCCGCACGAAAGGCGUAACGAUUUGGGCACUGUCUCAACAACAGACUCGGUGAAAUUGUAAUUCCGGUGAAGAUGCCGGAUACCUGCGACAGGACGGAAAGACCCCAUGGAGCUU